CUUUUUGCAGGCCGAUGCCAUUGUUUACAUGUUAGUUUGAACAUUCCCAGGAAAGCUCAGAUGUGGAGUGGCUAAGUCAUUAUGCAAGCAUCCUGGCAGUAGGCAUCCCAUCAUUUUAUGGUACCUCAGGAUGGGUCACCCAAGUCUUCAGAGAUGCUGUGAGGUCUCUUCAGGUUUCUCCUCCAACCCUCUUAGUGAAUCCAAGGAAAGAUAUAACAGAAAAACAGGUUAUCUAGAAGAAAAAGGUGAUGACAGUGAUUAGAGGCCACAAAAGACUUCCAUAUGAGGAGAGAUUAAAAAGACUGAGGGCUUCUGUAGGGCUGCUGCCAUUCUGGACAUGUAGGAAACCCUUGGCCUUCCACAUGGGCUGCUCUCCUUCUCACUCCCAUGCCCCACCAGGAAAAGCAGCAGCAGCAUGCUUUGGGCAGCCCCUGUCUAGGCUCCGGCGCUCCCUGGGCAGGAAAGCUACAGUUGGGAUCUAAACUGCUUGACAAACCCUUUGUCUUCCGUGUUCUGGUUGCAUUCCACCUCAGUCUCGUUGGGAGAAAGAGAAAUCCUUGACUCCAAACCAAAGCAAUGGCUACAAUGGUGGCUAAGUGAGAAGGGCCUCAGUUCAUCAGCGAAGGAGCAGUCCGAGGGAAUGCAGCCAUUCUGGAGUACUGCUGGACGUCAGUUUCUGCCUUGCCAGGAGCAACAGCAGCCUCAGUUGCUCUGCUCUUCCUUCCCACUCCCCUUCUCUUAAAAGGCGAAAUGACCUCCUUCACUGCAAAGCAGCAGCAUGGCUUGCUGCUCUGCUUCCUGCCCACCCCAACCCCUCCAGCUAAAGGAUAGAGUUUGAACUACUCUGCUCCUUCCUUUCCCAAUUCUCAGGGAAUGAGCCAGAACCUAUCCAGCUCACUCAUCAGGAAAAGCUACUUGUCCUAGGUAAGUGAAAGCGGAGUUUUUCCCAACCUCCAGCCACAUGAUGCAUAAAACGAUCCAGUUACACAAGAGACUCAGUUUUUUCCAACUCUUUUGAUUUUAUCACAAGUCUCUUUUGUAUUGGGCAUUUUUCUUAAAGCCUCAGCUCCUAGAGUCAUGUGAUUAGAUCAGUGUCUCAGCUUACAUUAAAAAAAUAAAAAAGUAAGUUUCUAGUCCUCAUGGUUGCGGAGAAAAGCUUUAAAAUGUGAACCCUGGUGUUUAAGGCAUCAGAAUGCAAAUAAAAAGGACCCAACAUUUUCUUAAAAAAAGAAAUUUAAUUAUUUUUGAACACCUGGAGCUGGCAAUACUGAAAAUUGGCCCAGCUAUUAAGUCAAUCUGCUGGACUGAAGAGACUUCAGUUUAAAUUCUCAAAUAAAUCAAGAUACAUCAAGAAGAUACAAAGUUUUCUUCUGUCAUCAUGCUAAGCGAUAUAGCAUGUUUACCUUCCAAAAAGAGAAGAAUUAGGAGGUAUAAAACUAAUUUGCUCAACGGUAUACAAAGAAGUAGACAUCAAUAUUGUUGGUUUAUGUAUAACGUGUGUCAAACGUAUAGUGCAACGGCCAAGCUAUGCGGAUAGCAUACCAACAGUAAAGGCCACAGUGAAUGAGGUUACUUAAUUUAAAACAUUUCAUUAUGCAGAAACAAUCUGAAGCACACUCUCUCCUGUCUAGCAGUGCCAUUUAAUGAGAUGGGAGGGGUGGAAAGAAAGACUAGCAUUCUAUGUAGGGAAAGGAAGCAGUCUUCCUCCACAGAUAAAUAAUCCAAGUACUUCAAGCUGUGAAGCUCAUUUAUUUUGAAGCACUAAAUAUCUUGUCUCAGUAGAAGAGAGAAAGCAGAACAGCUAUUUUUGCCCACAGCCAGAGCCAGCAAGAGGAAAUUACAAUACCCUGAAGAGCAGCUUUGCUUUCUUUUCCUUAACCGGAGUCAUAAAUACAGAGAGGACUUCACCUGCUUAAACCAAACAGGUAGCUGGAGAUUUGAAAUUUGUACACAAACUAGCCAACCCAUCAGUCCCAUCCAUAGUGUAGUCAUACAUGUAAUUACACACACAUAUUAUGAUCACUAAUAUAACAGGUGCUUUUACAUUCAGAUAUCAUGCAGGCUAUUAAAAAAAGUCACAAAAUAAUCAAAGACAAAUCUAACCUGCCACUGCACCGUGAGAAAAACUGCCCCAAUGAAAUUGUACCUCACGGACACUACAGUAUAUAAAUGUAUUGCUCCAACCCUCUUAGAAGUAGUUUUAGCAUGUAGGUUGCCAGGUGUCCCAUUUUCAACUAAACACCAGGUCGAAAAUGGACCCACCCCAGCCCAGUUAAAAUGAGUGAGUGUGGGUGGGGGAGAACGAGCAAGGGAGGGAGGGGGGAAUGGAGUGAGCAGUAAUAAUUGCUCCCUACUGCAGAAAAAUCAUUUGCUCUGCAGAUCUUCCCUUUAAGGGAGAUUUAAAACAAAAGAAGAGCCUUUGCUUGUAUUACCUAAGGAUUUCUGAGGGAGACAUCCCAGGGGUGUCUAAGCACGAACAGUUAAUAUUCAAAGAAUUAAACAGCUAGUUUUCUGUUCACUUUUUGUAGUUUUCCAUUACUCUCAGCUUGAGCUAGUUUCUUUAGUGAAUUUAUCUUGAUCUUCAGUUUCUACAGUCUGUCAACAGUCAUUCAUUUUCAGUUUCUGAGGCAACACGGCAAUGAAGCAACGUUUGGGUUAUAAACACUGAAUGGGAAAGUUUAUUAAAAGUUUUCCUUUAGGUUAAGAAAAAUAACCAUAGAAAUAGCUAUUUUGUGAGAUUUACUUAAAAUAGAGAACCUAUGCUUUGGUCAGCAGGCUUUCUUUCAAAGGCACAUCUGAAUUCAUGGCUCAGACUGACACUGCUUACACUAAAAAAAGAAAAGGAGUACUUGUGGCACCUUAGAGACUAACCAAUUUAUUUGAGCAUGAGCUUUCGUGAGCUACAGCUCACUUCAUCAGAUGUAUACCGUGGAAACUGCAGCAGACUUUAUAUACACACAGAGAUCAUGAAACAAUACCUCCUCCCACCCCACUGUCCUGCUGGUAAUAGCUUAUCUAAAGUGAUCAUCAGGUGGGCCAUUUCCAGCACAAAUCCAGGUUUUCUCACCCUCCACCCCCCCCACACAAAUUCACUCUCCUGCUGGUGCUAGCCCAUCCAAAGGGGUUGUUACAUGGUAGCUCCUCAGGCAGUCUCUCAACUUGUUGCCCUCACUUCAAAAAAAAAUACAGUUGUCAUCCCCACAACUGCUGCCGCUUGUAGUCAUCAGGAGGAGCAAAAGAAGCUGUUUCGCUACCUUU